GUUGCACAAAUGAGGGAACACGUUUGUAGCCUAGGGUCCGGGAAAAUGUGGGCCUUUUAUAACCGCAUUUCAUGCAUUUCUACAUAAUUUUAGAUUACUGAAAAAAUAUUUGGUUUGGGGUCUUUGCGCAUGCGCUUUUUGAGUCUUUUGGAGCGCAUUCUUCUCUGUCUAAAUUGUUGCUUCUACGUGAAAUGACUGACAACACUGUCAGCAAAUUCGAUGUCUAGCCAGUCUCAACUAAGUGAAAAGCCACUAAAGCCACCAAUGGGAAUGCGAGACAUUCUCAACUAACGGUAUCCAACCACCAUCACCCGUUUGUCGUGUGGUGCAAUCAUGUUCGUACUUUGACUUUAGCCCCGGCCCCAACUCGAAUUUUCAAAAACAAACGGCGGCCAUGACGCUUUCCCCGCGUUGGAUCAUUGUUUACAUCACACGGAGAGAGUUACAUCGUUUAAUAAGAUGGCAUGAAAACGAUUGUAAUGUUUUUGCUACAUUUGUGAAUUUGUAAAAAUGGAAAGCGAAUUGUAAACAUUAUUAUACAGUGCAAUCUCAUUGUAAAUAAGAAUUUGUUCUUAACUUACUUGCCUGGUUAAAUUAAGGUUAAAUACAAAUAAAUAAAAUACAUAUCUGGUGUCAUCUACCUAUGAUGCACGUAGCAUUUACCGGCAUCGGUAAAUCAUAUUUUUAUAAUCGUAGCUAUUUUAAUGCAUACUUGCGCUUAAAUUUGUGUUUUUUGUAUGGAAUAAGACGCCUGUUAAGUUGUGAGAAAGUAGCAUGCUACAGUAGUUUAUUUUCGGUUCCAGUGUAUGGCACAGUUUUAUGUAGUAGUAUCAGUCAUUUAUUAGCUAAUACAUGUAUUUUGUUAGCUAGUUUAAUGGUGUAAAAAUCGUGAUAUUUCCCUUGCAUUUCAAUCUACACAUGCAUAUGGGUCUGCAAUGUUAGGUAGGCUAUUUAAUUCCCUUGACAUUCUGCAAGCAUGAAUACUUUACCAAAAUGGAAGAUAUGCAUUGUGUUAAUCUUACUAUUGUCCAUGUAGAUUUUUUUAUUACAUAAAAAAAAGUAACCUUUUUUUAACUAGGCAAGUCUUAAGAACAAAUUCUUAGAUCUGACAUGCGUUAAAUUUUACACAACUUUACACGCAUGCUUUCCAUAAAUGCAAUGUGUGCUUUGCACAUAUGAAAACCCUUCCAUUUUUUAUUUUAUUUUACCUUUAUUUAACUAGGCAAGUCAGUUAAGAACAAAUUCUUAUUUUCAAUGACGGCCUAGGAACAGUGGGUUAACUGCCUGUUCAGGGGCAGAACGACAGAUUUGUACCUUGUCAGCUCGGGGAUUUGAACUUGCAACCUUUCGGUUACUAGUCCAACGCUCUAGCCACUAGGCUACCCUGCCGCCCCCCUGCCGCCCCGCUCCAUGAUGACACUCUUCCUGUAUCUGUCAUAUAGGCCAAUGGAUUCUUUGUCCUAUAGCUACAUAACUAAAUCUAGUAGCUGUCACUUACCAUCCAUGCUGCUGCUUGGCUAUAGAUUUGCUCUCAUGGUGCUGAGAAUGCUUAGUACUGUAGCUGUCACUUAUAUAUUCUCUGUAUGUAUUAUGUAUGAACUCUACCUCAGGUCCUCUUGUAUCCACCCCAUUCUUCUGUCUGUGCCUUGGUAGGGCGAAGACCAGCAGAAGAGGGUGAUGUCCUUCCUGCCUCGAUGGCAUGCCUCAGGAAGUGCUGCGCUGGUGAUUCCGGAGAGCUGGCAGGCAACUCUCAACAGGAAGCAGCAGCAGUGGAUUGACCGGACGCUAUUUACCAAUAGCUGCCUACGGAGCUCACAGUUCAUCACUGUCCUUGCCCCUAUGGGCAAAAACCAGAAGAGGGUGAUGUCCUUCUUGCCUCCAAGGCCUGCCUCAGAAAGUUCUGGGAUGAGUUUUUCUAUAAUAAAUGAGAAGCUUAGAAAUGGUAAUUGAAUAGUUGCUAAUAUUGGGUCAACUAUUAGUAGUAUAACACUCGCUCCCUCAGCGCUUGCGUGCAACUCUCAACAAGCAUCAGCAGCGGUGGAUUGGCCGGACGCUGUUUACCAGGAGCAGCAUGGGGAGUUCAUAAUUCAUCACUGACUUGCUUGAAAGACACCAGACUAACGUCGGUCCAGUGUGAGCUGGCAGCCAGCAGUGGAUUGGCCGGACGCUGUGUACCAUCUCCCCGAUCCCCUUCUUUGCAUGUCCUCUGUUCUGGAUGCCCCUUUGUAUGUGGGCAUUUAAGCUGACAUGCCCCCAGCCUGGGUGAGGGCACAAUUCAUCACAGACUUGCUUGAGACACCAGACUAACGGCGGUCCAGUGUUUGCUUGUCUAACCCAUGCUGAGUCUAACCCAUGCUGUGUAACAUUUUGUAACUAAUCAGCAUUUCACUCAAAUGUGUGGCAUGCAUAUGCAAUGCUUAAAAUGAUCUACUACAAAGGGACAGUUAUACAGACACUCCUGUUAUGUCUAUGGCCUCUAACUUUGAAAUGUUAAUUGUGAACUGAAAAUAACUAUGUUUUAAGUUCUGCUGAGGGGAAGAUUGUAGAACAGUGGCUGGCGGAAGUGAGAUACGUUGAGGGGCGAGGUGCUGAAGGAAACUGAGACACUCGUAGGGUGGUCGUGAAACAAUCCUUUUGUAUAUACACUGAACAAAAAAUAUAAACGCAGCAUGUAAAGUGUUGGUCCCAUGUUUCAUGAGCUGAAAUAAAAAAUCCCAGAAAUGUUCCAUACAUAUAAAAACAUAUUUCUCUCAAAAUUUGUGCACAAAUGUGUUUACAUCCAUUUUAGUGAGCAUUUCUUCUUUGCCAAAAUAAUCCAGCCACCUGACUGGUGUGGCAUAUCAAGAAGCUGAGGAGUAUUUCUGUCGGUAAUAAAAGCCCUUUGUGGGGUAAAAACUCA